rnacentral:piRNA from 1 species
UGUCCUAUUAUAACAUCUGCUGUGCUGACAU